AUUGAACGCUGGCUGCAGGCCUAACACAUGCAAGUCGGACGAGUGGCGGACGGGUGAGUAAUGUCUGGGAAACUGCCUGAUGGAGGGGGAUAACUACUGGAAACGGUAGCUAAUACCGCAUACCAUCGGAUGUGCCAAGAUGGGAUUAGCUAGUAGGUGGGGUAAAGGCUCACCUAGGCGACGAUCCCUAGCUGGUCUGAGAGGAUGACCAGCAACACUGGAACGGGGACACGGUCCAGAUGCCUACGGGAGGCAGCAGGGGGGAAUAUUGCACAAUGGGCGCAAGCCUGAUGCAGCCAUGCCGCGUGUAUGAAGAAGGCCUUCGGGUUGUAAAGUACUGUCAGCGGGGAGGCGUUACCAACAGAAUAAGCACCGGCUAACUUCGUGCCAGCAGCCGCGGUAAUUC
rnacentral:rRNA from 1 species